rfam:Acetobacteraceae bacterium AT-5844 genomic scaffold Scfld178, whole genome shotgun sequence.
GGGCGCGUAGCUCAGCGGUAGAGCAUUCGCUUCACACGCGAAGGGUCACAGGUUCAAUCCCUGUCGCGCCCA